AGUCUCCUCUGGAGGCGUGGGUUCGAAUCCCACUUCUGACAUUACUCUUUUGUUUCCAAUAGUCAAUGCGUAGGUCGUUCUCCAUCUAUGACAGCCAAUCAGUCAGUCCGUUUUCCAUCUUUUACGUGACGUCACCGCCACUGACAGCCAAUCGCUUUCCCAGGCUUUGGAUUGAGGGUAUUGUCUGGCCCAUCAGCUGUCACCACCAGCUCAGCCUCCAUCCUUCCUCUCCCCACCACCCUCACAACCACUGUCCCUGCUGCUACAGCCGUGGCUAGGUCUGGAUCACAGGCCACCACCCCAGUUGCACCAGAGCAACCACUGGCUGUGGAUGAGCGUUGUGUUCUGGUUAUGAUGGCACUGCUACGGUGGGGCAGAGGACUGACACUGACCACUCAACAACCUGCAGGCCAAUACUAUUAUGUAAAAAGAAAGUAUUGUUGCAAUAGUUGAUUGCUGAAAUUAUUUUCUUACUAUUUAAUUUAUUCUUUGUAUUUCAUUUAUUGAUUACCUCCACUAAGGAGGUUAUUUUUUCACUCCUGUCUGUUUGUUGAUUGGUUUAUUUUAUUCAUUUCUUCGUGGUUAAUGUUGUUUGGGGUUCUUUGUGUUAAGAUUUACAGUAUAUUUUGUAAUAAAUUUGUACUAUUUUUCUACAGCA